UCAAGGAAUUAAGAGUUUAUGGGGGAUACCUUGGCAUUCAGAAGCGAUGAAGGACGCGGUUACCGGCGAAACGCUUCGGGGAGUUGGAAACAAACUAUGAUCCGGAGGUCUCCGAAUGAGGAAACUUUAAUACUACUUAUUGAAUACAUAAAUAAGAAAGAGCGAACCUAGGGAACUGAAACAUCUUAGUACCUAGAGGAAAAGAAAGUAAAAACGAUUCCCUUAGUAGCGGCGAGCGAAAUGGGAAAAGCCUAAACUUAAUAUUAUUAAGGGUAGUGGGACAAUUGUGAAUGAUUAAAUGUGACAAUUAGACGAAUAGGUUGGAAUACCUUACCAAAGAAAGUGAUAGUCUCGUAGUCGAAAAUUGAAACAAUCAAAUUGAAUCCCAAGUAGCAUGGAGCACGUGAAAUUCCGUGUGAAUCAGCGAGGACCACCUCGUAAGGCUAAAUAUUCCUGAAUGACCGAUAGUGAAACAGUACCGUGAGGGAAAGGUGAAAAGAACCCCGGGAGGGGAGUGAAAAGAACAUGAAACCAUAAACUUACAAUCAGUAGAAGGACGACUAAAACGUCUGACUUCGUGCCUGUUGAAGAAUGAGCCGGCGACUUAUAGGUAGUGGCAGGUUAAGGCAGAGAAUGCUGAAGCCAUAGUGAAAGCGAGCCUGAAUAGGGCAUAUGUCACUGGUUAUAGACCCGAACCCGGAUGAUCUAACCAUGGUCAGGUUGAAGCUUAGGUAAUACUAAGUGGAGGACCGAACCGACUGAUGUUGAAAAAUCAGCGGAUGAAUUGUGGUUAGGGGUGAAAUGCCAAUCGAAUUCGGAGCUAGCUGGUUCUCCCCGAAAUGCGUUUUGGCGCAGCGAUAAAUGUUAUAACUUAGGGGUAAAGCACUGUUACGUAUGCGGGCUGGUAAUUCGGUACCAAAUCGUUGCAAACUAAGAAUACUAAGUGUACAGUUCAUCAGUGAGACUGUGGGGGAUAAGCUCCAUUGUCAAGAGGGAAACAGCCCAGAGCACCAGUUAAGGCCCCUAAAUAAUUACUAAGUGAUAAAGGAGGUGGGAGUGCAAAGACAAUCAGGAGGUUGGCUCAGAAGCAGCAAUCCUUUAAAGAGUGCGUAAUAGCUCACUGAUCGAGUAAACCUGCGCCGAAAAUGUACGGGACUAAGUAAUUUGCCGAAACUGUGCGAUAUAUUUUAAAUAUAUCGGUAGGGGAGCGUUCUGUUGUAGAUUGAAGUAUUAGCGUAAGCGGAUAUGGACGAAGCAGAAGUGAGAAUGUCGGCUUGAGUAACGAAAAUAUAGGUGAGAAUCCUAUACCCCGAAAACCCAAGGUUUCCUCCGGAAGGCUCGUCCGCGGAGGGUAAGUCAGGACCUAAGGCGAGGCUGAAAAGCGUAGUCGAUGGACAACGGGUUAAUAUUCCCGUACCAUUAUUUAUUGAUAACGAGGGACGGAGAAGGCUAAGCUGGCCGGAUAUUGGUUACCGGUUUAAACGUUCGAGAUGAUGAGAAACGGCGAAAACGUUUUGAGUUGAGGCGUGAGUACGAGAUGCUACGGCAUCGAAGCAGUGUAUGUCAGACUUCCAAGAAAAGCUCGCAAUGUCAUAAAUAAAUAAUGCCUGUACCAUAACCGACACAGGUGGGUAGGUAGAGUAUACUAAGGGGCGCGAGAUAACUCUCUCUAAGGAACUCGGCAAAAUGACUCCGUAACUUCGGGAGAAGGAGUGCCUUAUUUAUAAGGUUGCAAUAACAAGAUCCAAGCAACUGUUUACCAAAAACACAGGUCUCCGCUAAGUCGUAAGACGAUGUAUGGGGGCUGACGCCUGCCCAGUGCCAGAAGGUUAAAGAAGUUGGUUAGCAUUAGCGAAGCUGAUAACUGAAGCCCUGGUGAACGGCGGCCGUAACUAUAACGGUCCUAAGGUAGCGAAAUUCCUUGUCGGGUAAGUUCCGACC
rnacentral:rRNA from 1 species